rnacentral:rRNA from 1 species
GAUGAACGCUAGCGGCAGGCUUAAUACAUGCAAGUCGAGGGGCAGCAUGAUUGUAGCAAUACAAUUGAUGGCGACCGGCAAACGGGUGCGGAACACGUACACAACCUUCCAAUAAGUGGGGAAUAGCCCAGAGAAAUUUGGAUUAAUACCCCGUAACAUAACGAUGUGGCAUCACAUUGUUAUUAUAGAUUUUUCGCUUAUUGAUGGGUGUGCGGCUGAUUAGAUAGUUGGCGGGGUAACGGCCCACCAAGUCUACGAUCAGUAGCUGAUGUGAGAGCAUGAUCAGCCACACGGGCACUGAGACACGGGCCCGACUCCUACGGGAGGCAGCAGUAAGGAAUAUUGGACAAUGGACGCAAGUCUGGUCCAGCCAUGCCGCGUGAAGGAUUAAGGUCCUCUGGAUUGUAAACUUCUUUUAUAAGGGACGAAAAAAGGCUUUUCUAAGUCGUCUGACGGUACCUUAUGAAUAAGCACCGGCUAACUCCGUGCCAGCAGCCGCGGUAACAC